rnacentral:rRNA from 1 species
AUGAACGCUGGCGGCGUGCCUAAUACAUGCAAGUCGAGCGAACGGACGAGAAGCUUGCUUCUCUGAUGUUAGCGGCGGACGGGUGAGUAACACGUGGAUAACCUACCUAUAAGACUGGGAUAACUUCGGGAAACCGGAGCUAAUACCGGAUGAUAUUUUGAACCGCAUGGUUCAAAAGUGAAAGACGGUCUUGCUGUCACUUAUAGAUGGAUCCGCGCUGCAUUAGCUAGUUGGUAAGGUAACGGCUUACCAAGGCAACGAUGCAUAGCCGACCUGAGAGGGUGAUCGGCCACACUGGAACUGAGACACGGUCCAGACUCCUACGGGAGGCAGCAGUAGGGAAUCUUCCGCAAUGGGCGAAAGCCUGACGGAGCAACGCCGCGUGAGUGGUGAAGGUCUUCGGAUCGUAAAACUCUGUUAUUAGGGAAGAACAUAUGUGUAAGUAACUGUGCACAUCUUGACGGUACCUAAUCAGAAAGCCACGGCUAACUACGUG